rnacentral:rRNA from 1 species
CCUACGGGUGGCAGCAGUGGGGAAUAUUGGACAAUGGGGGGAACCCUGCUCCAGCGACGCCGCGUGAGUGAAGAAGUAUUUCGGUAUGUAAAGCUCUAUCAGCAGGGAAGAAAGAAAUGACGGUACCUGACUAAGAAGCCCCGGCUAACUACGAGCCAGCAGCCGCGGUCAUACGUAGGGUGCAAGCGUUAUCCGGAUUUACUGGGUGUAAAGGGAGCGUAGACGGCGAUGCAAGUCUGAAGUUAAAGGCGGGGGGCCAACCUCCGGACUGCUUUGGAAACUGUAUGGCUGGAGUGCAGGAGAGGUAAGUGGAAUUCCUAGUGUAGCGGUGAAAGGCGUAGAUAUUAGGAGGAACACCAGUGGCGAAGGCGGCUUACUGGACUGUAACGGACGUUGAGGCUCGAAAGCGUGGGGAGCAAACAGGAUUAGAGACCCUAGUAGUC